GGAAAGCAUGGCAUGGUGGAGACGCUCUCUGUAUUCUCCUGAAUGUAUUCUCCUGGAUGAAAGAUUUGCCUGGCGUAAUGGAUACUUUGAAAACCACAAGAGCGAAGCUAAUAGCACUGAAGAAUGAUGGUGGAAGUUCAUCCUGUGUGGGUGUAUCGUGUGCAUCACCUUCUGUCCCGUCUGAAGAGUUGAACUCAUCUCCUUGUCAAGUGUCGUACUCAAGGCCUAAACAGCUGCUACUUUGGCAAAGUUUCCUGGGACUUCAUAAGGU